rnacentral:rRNA from 1 species
CCUGAUCCAGCCAUGCCGCGUGAGUGAAGAAGGCCUCGGGUUGUAAAGCUCUUUCGGCGGGGACGAAACGGUCCGUGACAACACCACGGACUAAUGACGGUACUCGCAGAAGAAGCACCGGCUAACUACGUGCCAGCAGCCGCGGUAAUACGUAGGGUGCGGGCGUUAAUCGGAAUUACUGGGCGUAAAGCGUGCGCAGGCGGCUCCUUAAGUCAGAUGUGAAAUCCCCGGGCUUAACCUGGGAACUGCGUUUGAAACUGAGGGGCUUGAGUGUGGAAGAGGGGGGUGGAAUUCCAGGUGUAGCAGUGAAAUGCGUAGAGAUCUGGAGGAACACCGAUGGCGAAGGCAGCCCCCUGGGCUAACACUGACGCUCAUGCACGAAAGCGUGGGGAGCAAACAGGAUUAGAUACCCUGGUAGUCCACGCCCUAAACGAUGUCAACUGGUUGUCGGGGAAGCAAUUCCUUGGUAACGAAGCUAACGCGUGAAGUUGACCGCCGUGGGGAGUACGGCCGCAAAGGUU